rnacentral:rRNA from 1 species
AUACGUAGGGGGCGAGCGUUAUUCGGAAUUACUGGGUGUAAAGGGUAUGUAGGCGGCCCUUCAAGUCGCGUGUCAAAGUCCAGUGCUCAACGCUGGGUGUGCGCGCGAUACUGACGGGCUUGAGGGCUGGAGAGGUGAGCGGAAUUCCCGGUGUAGUGGUAAAAUACGUAGAGAUCGGGAGGAACACCAGCGGCGCAGGCGGCUCACUAGACAGUUUCUGACGCUAAGGCGCGAAAGCCAGGGGAGC